GUGCUCACUUUGGAAUACAUACACUAAAAUUGGAAUAAUACAGAGAAAAUCAGCAUGGCCUCUGUGUGAGAAUGACAUGCCAAAGUGUGAAACAUUCCACAUUAAA
ensembl:snRNA U6 U6 spliceosomal RNA